CGGACGGGUGAGUAAUGUAUAGUUAAUCUGCCCUUUAGAGGGGGAUAACAGUUGGAAGCGACUGCUAAUACCCCAUACUCCUUUUACAUUAAUUGUAAUUGGGAAAUGUUUUUUCGCUAAAGGAUGAGACUAUAUGGUAUCAGGUAGUUGGUGGGGUAAGAGCCUACCAAGCCAAUGACGCCUAGCUGGUCUGAGAGGAUGAUCAGCCACACUGGAACUGAGACACGGUCCAG
rnacentral:rRNA from 1 species